CAUGUUUUUCCCGCUUUACGCUAUAAGGGAGCAUCGGGCAGAAGGGGAUGCGCGCUGACUUUCAGGUUACAUCAAUGUUUAUAUACUAAAACAUUUGUAUCUUUCAGAUGAAGACGUCAGGAAUGAAAAUCUUGAUAGCUGUUGUAAUGACAGUGGUUGUUUUGGCAACAAGCGCGUCAUCAACGAAGGACGUACGGGAUAUAUGCAACUACAACAUCGGGGGUGCGAAAUGCAGUGCCUGUUGCGGACGAGCGCUUGUACAUUGCAAACUAUAUUGUAAAAACUUGGGUUGUGACCCGUAUCAAAAGGGUGUAUGCGAUGUCAAAAACAGCAACAAGUAUUUCAUGUAUUCAUUCAGGGCAAAGGGUUGCCCAACAUGCAUGAGUGACAGGAGACGUACUUUGGAAAGUGAUGACUCUUCAGCUGUUGUCAAUUCGCGUGGUUUCUGUGAUAGCUGUGUAAAGCGUGCUUUGCAAAAUUGCCAAGGACCCGAAUGCAAUCCUUCUGCUGUGAUACAACGAACAUGUGGAAAGGAAUGCCUUUAAGGGAUCCGAAAUUAUUCAAGACAUUAUAUAGAUAAUUAUAUAUGUAUUAUUUACGUUAUUACUUGAUGAACAGUAACAUAUUAUAAUAAGUUCAUUGUUUGUAGAAAUUGAAAUUGAAAUAAAAGCAUUGCAAAAUCACAAGCCUUACUUUGUACUUUGAGACUAUGCUUAUGAGCAACGACAUACGUCAGUGAACUAAUUUUAAACUUAACCUGCGAACAAAUUCGCCUAGUGGAAAACGGGCUUUACGCCUCUGUAACGAUUCUAUAACCAGUGCCG
rnacentral:lncRNA from 1 species